GUCCAAGGCGGAGGGGCCUGGGUUUUGCACCACACCGGUGGAUCCGCUCCCCAGCCCAGGGUGGCUCCCUCAGCCCUCUGUCCCCUGCACACCAGGCACACCAGUUAUCUGCUGGGAAGCGGCUGGCAGCGAGACCUCAUGAGUCAUGUGUGUCAUCAGGACAGAGUGGCACUGUCACCAAGCCCCCAGUGCAAAGCAGCCAGAAGGUGGAAAUGAGGCUCCCACCACACAGGCAGGCAGGACCCCAAUGUUCACAUCGAGGGUCCCGGCCACCGCGAAGCGGCCAGUGAGAGCUGUCCUGCGCCCCAGCCACCCCGGCCCUAGCCUUGUCCCCAGCCCUGGGGGUCAGCUGGGAGCGGCCUCCCCAGCUGCCUCCGGAAGUGAGGCAGCUCUUUCGUGUCCCAGGGACCAGGACGGGAAGGGCGGCCAUUUGGCCGGGUCCGUUUCCUGUGGGGUUUCCCCUGCACACAGCCUGGGCCGUGCCAAGGCCACUCCUGUCGCCACAGGCGCGCGAGUCCGGUCCCGCGUGGGGAGGCCGCGGCCACGCAGGUGCCCCGGGCCCGGACUGCUUCUCGUCCAGGCUCCGGCUCAGUCCUGGGGGCCGGGCUCCCCCGCCAGGCCAGCGCCAGGGAUGGAGGUGACUGGAUGCAUCCUGAGGUGCACCCGGACCCCAGACAGAGGAGGAGAAAGGGACCCGGGUGUCCCCAAAGAGCGUGGCACCCAGGGCCUAGGCAGGAGGGGGUGAGGCAUUGGCUCUUCUCUCAUCUCAACGCACCCCAAUUCGUGAUGCAUAAAAUGGAGGUCCCAUGGUCGUCCUGGGCCCUGCACAGAGGACACCCAAGCGGAGCCAGGGCUGGCACCACACGCCUGUCAUCCCAGCCUUGGCGAGGCUGAGGCGGGAGGAGCAAUGCGACUCUGAAGCCAACCUGGGCUCUGCAGUGAGUUCAAGGCCCGCCUGGAAUUCGUGUGAAACCUGUCUCACCCUAAAAAUAAAAAGUACAAUGUCCCACCACCAGUGUUCCCAACAGCCUCAUUCUCUAGGGAUGGACCCCACACAAGGUGCAAGGCUGUCUUGGAAAGGGUGGCCAAGUCCCACGUGGAUGGCAGGGUCAGGCAGAUGGCCCCUGGUCCGCACCGGGCCUGUCGCCCCAGGAACCUAGAUGCACAGCUGCAGCCCCCACACAAUGUCUGGGCCCCACCUGCAACCAGGCCUGGAUGUGGGGUCCCUGGAGGACCCCAGAGCGCGCACCUCUGCUCUCUGCCCUGCAGCAGGAAUCUUCAGAGGCGUGGAGGCCGGGCCAGCACAGACAGGCCCGACCCCCGGACACGCCCUGUCACGCACGGCCUCUGCGUGCCAGCUCGGGCCCAGCCGGCAGCUAUUUUAGGGCCCCUCCAGGCCCGUGGGCAAG
rnacentral:lncRNA from 1 species